rnacentral:rRNA from 1 species
UACAGAGGUCCCAAGCGUUGUUCGGAUUCACUGGGCGUAAAGGGUGCGUAGGUGGUUGAGUAAGUCUGAUGUGAAAUCUCCGGGCUUAACCCGGAAACUGCAUUGGAAACUGCCUGACUAGAGGGUUGGAGGGGGGACUGGAAUACUUGGUGUAGCAGUGAAAUGCGUAGAUAUCAAGUGGAACACCAGUGGCGAAGGCGAGUCCCUGGACAACUCCUGACACUGAGGCACGAAAGCUAGGGGAGCAAACAGG